rnacentral:tRNA from 1 species
GUUUUUAUAAUUUAAUUUAAAAUAUUGAUUUUGUAAAUCAAUCUUAAGACAUGAUCUUUAAAAACU